rnacentral:sRNA from 19 species
GUCAAUUGCCCAGAUCUGCAAGCCUCGGCUUGCAAAAUCCUGGUUGACCAGCUUCAGGCUGUCGAAAGACUGGUUUUGGUUGGGUUGGUUGGGAAAAUUCAGGCACCCUGGGGUAAAACUCCAAGCCCCUGCUCUGCG